UUCAUAUUUUGAUGGAACAUGUCUCAAUGUUUCCUCUGUUGAUUCUCUGUUGUUUAAAAUAAUAAUAAACAAUUUGAACCAAUAUCAUUUUUACUCUGUAGAAGUCUUUCAACCAAAAAUGGAGAAAAUAAACCUAAAAGCGGGUAAUUAUUUGACCGAUAUUAGGAAAUAUGUUUGAUUGAAUAAUUUCAAAAGUGUAAAAUCAGAUAAACAGUUUGGAGAGUUUUAGAAUAUUUGGCUAGAAAUUAAUGUAACAUGUUGUGAACAGGCCUGCUGAGACAGAGGAAGCAGAAAAUAAACAUCAGGAAGAGAAACAUGUUCAGGAAGACAAGAGUAAAGAAGAAACUGAAAGCAGUAAAGCUGACAUGAAGGAAGAAACCAACAAACAGCAAAGCGAUCAAAGUCUUUCAACCAACAAU